GGAGUAAAAGUCGUAACAAGGUUUCCGUAGGUGAACCUGCGGAAGGAUCAUUACCGAGUGAGGGCCCUCUGGGUCCAACCUCCCACCCGUGUUUAUCGUACCUUGUUGCUUCGGCGGGCCCGCCUCACGGCCGCCGGGGGGCACCCGCCCCCGGGCCCGCGCCCGCCGAAGACACCAUUGAACGCUGUCUGAAGAUUGCAGUCUGAGCAUCUUAGCUAAAUCAGUUAAAACUUUCAACAACGGAUCUCUUGGUUCCG
rnacentral:misc_RNA from 1 species